CUCCUAAAAAGUCUAACUGCACAACCCUUCUUUCUAAGAGUGUAUGAGUUGAGAUCUAUUCUAUUUUUAUAGUGUGUCGCUCCUUCUAGUCAACGGAAAGAACAAAAUUAAUGACUUCCCGUGGCAGCAUUCGGAACCCUAGUCCGUAAAUCUGCAGCCGUUUAUCGCCAUUAUCGUUUAUCGAGAAACCCCAUAUGGCGCGUACGUUUCCUGGCGAGAUUCCUGCCGUCGGAAAUCGUUUAGACUAAAAGGCCAGAGCGGAUAUCCGCGCUUUCUGCGGUCUCAACGCACAAUCCAACCCUAUAUAAAGACAACGGCAAAGUUCACGUUGCCACUGUUCACAUUUGCGCCGAAGAUGUCUUCACUUGCGACGACCUUGAUCGCCGUCCUGGCUCUCGUAGCCCUGGCAUCGGCCGUCUGUCCCAGAUACCCCGUCAACGUGGCCUGCGACAGAGUCUUGUACAACUGCACGCAGUCCAUGUGCGAUCGCACGGGUCACGAGUGCUGCGACACAGUCUGUGGCACCAAACGGUGCGUUCCCGGUGAACUUCGACUUGAACCUGUGCCCCUGAGCGCAACCCGCAUGACAAGCGAGAACGAGAAGUGGUGCGACGACUGCUUCGUUAGCUGUCGUAGCUGUACUCAUCACUGUCGACAAACUCAGACGUUCGAUCCCUACACGGAGAUGUGGUGCAACCGCUGCAAGGAAGUCUGCAUGAGGUGCACGGCCCGCUGCGCACAGUUCCAAUAACGGAAGUUCUGCUGUUCUUCACGAGUAGUUUGAUGUUCAUAAAGUCAAUUGAUGUCAAUUUACAUUUGAAAGGAAUAAUAAAUAUUUGUUCGAACGAAAACA